UCACUCUUGGGAUGGGACCUGCGGUGCAUUAGCUAGUUGGUAGGGGUAACGGGCCUACCAAGGCGAUGAUACAUAGCCCGAGUUGAGAGACUGAUCGGCCACAUUGGGGACUGAGACACGGGCCCAAACUCCUACGGGAGGCAGCAGUAGGGAAUCUUCCACAAUGGACGCAAGUCUGAUGGAGCAAACGCCGCGUGAGUGAAGAAGGGUUUCGGCUCGUAAAAAGCUCUGUUGUUGGUGAAGAAGGACAGGGGUAGUAACUGACCCUUUGUUUGACGGUAAUCAAUUAGAAAGUCACGGGCUAACUACGUGCCCAGCAGCCGCGGUAAAU
rnacentral:rRNA from 1 species